GGGGAGCAAGGACACGGCCUCGCUCGCGAGUCAGUGGUCAGUAACUGUCACGCUACCGGGACACAACCCUUCACUAUAAAGGGGCUAUCACCAUCCCAAACGCGCAUACACAAACCGGUCGGAGGCAAGAAGUGGUCUUUUCAGGACACAGUUCAGCUCUUGUAUAGAUGUAUCUAUCCCCAGAUCGCAGGAUUUUCAAGAAAUUGAGCCUGUCCCUGUGUGCUUGUGAAUAAUUCCACAACAGAGCACUUCGGGACUCCGGGUUAUCCUGAGGCUGCGCGGGACCUUUCCAGCUCUCCAGCCCCAGGUCUCCCGACUUUGCGCUCCAGGCUCCGGGCUCAGCUAGCUGGGGUUUGCCUCCUGUUCUUUCCACCGCGGGAAGUGAACGCCACCCCCACCCGCAUUUUGCCUGUGAGUCUCCCUAGCUGGUGCAGGAGAAGCCUUCCCAGUCCCGGGAGGAAAAUGGCGCAGCUAAUUUGGUGAGGAUGCCGGCCUCGCCCCGCCCCCAAAAGGAGGUAGUUCGCCAGGUGACUGGGAACUUGUACGAAAGAAGAAAGGCAUUUAGUGUUCCAAACCCUAGGGCAGCAUUUUAAAAAACAGUCAUAUUUUUAAAGGGGUUGGAGGUGGGGGAGGGAGAGGACAUGGCAACAUUCCAGAAACCAGCAUUAUUACAACACCAUAGCCAGUAUGUUUAGUUUGGCUUUUCCUAACAUAGAAAUCAUAGAAGGUGGGGAAGUGGAAAUAAAGUUUUCAAAAUGAGAGAGCAGUUUUCCAGCUAUGUCAACAAAGCCUAUCGUGUUGAUGUCUUUAUUGACCAUUUUAGCAACAUGCUAAUAAAAUUUCAAAUUGAAAUUUUUAUUUUCAUGGCUUUAAUCCAUGAUAGUUUAAAUACUGGGGGCCAUUAAGAGUGGACUUAGCUAAGAGCUUAGCUAACAUUGCCUUUUCACUCUGUUUUUCUCAAGUCUUAUGAGAAUUCUGUUUUUGACUAUUGUAGUUAUUUUGUUAUUAUUAUUACUUUUGGCUUUAAACAGCAGCCCAGCCCUAGUAGUGGUGGAGUUUUUAAUCACUGUGUAUAUUGUACUGAAUUUCUGUCAGUUAAAGGGUUUACUGCUUUGAUGGAAAUUGCUAGCAAGUUCCAUGAUGUUUCUUUUCUCCAUGUUGUAUGUCAUUAGUAUUUUACAUUGCCUUUCUAUUUUUCUUCCUCUCCAACCAAUCUCUUUAAAAACAAAUCUAGAAUUGGUGGCUCUAUUCCCCUCCUCCUUAGCCAGUCCUACAGCUCAGUUUGUCCUGAAACCAGGGAAGUACUUGUAGGAUCAGGACAAAUGUGUGUUUUUCAAAAAAUUAAGGCUGGGUGAAACCCCUUCCUUGGGCAACGAUUUCCAAACUUCUCUUGUGCUGCAGCCCCAGCCUGACUUACUGUUACUUGAUUCCGUGUGUUAGACACCUAUUGUAUCUGUGUCUCUUUCAAGGGAAUUUGUUAAACAAUGCCGUUUAGUUAAUUGUAGCAAGUAAUUGCAUACUGAGAGCUGUGAUUUAGUUGGACAGCAAAUAUUAUGGCCAAAGCCAGUUUCUUGGCAUUUCAAAAAUAAUGCAAUAAAAGCUAGUCAAGGUUAGCUGAGACUGGAAAUGCCUUUUUCAUGGUAAAUCAUUCAUUUCUAUUUUCUUUUUUCCUUUAUUUUUUUCAUCCUGGAUUCAUUCCCUAAUCUUGAAUCAAAAGGUCACAUCAAUGAAAUAUGAACUAAAGUAUUUUUCUUAAGCCUAUCGAGUGAUUUAUUUUUUAAAAAACGUGUAAAUGCGUAUGAUUUUCUUUCAGCACAAACAACAAGCAAAAUUUUGUAAUAACUAACCUACCUUUGCAUGUAUGGAGAACUGAAAGUCUCCAUUUAUUUCCCUAACUAUCCCUCUUUGGAAAUAACAGAUGGCAGAUGAUCAACUACAAAUCUUUAUUGUGUCUAGACACUCCACGUUCUCCACUGUGCCCUACUACUGUAUCUUGGCUCCCUGCUGUAUUAAACACCAUCUUAAGCAAUUGUU